rnacentral:rRNA from 1 species
AUUGAACGCUGGCGGCAGGCCCAACACAUGCAAGUCGAGCGGAUGAAGGGAGCUUGCUCCUGGAUUCAGCGGCGGACGGGUGAGUAAUGCCUAGGAAUCUGCCUGGUAGUGGGGGAUAACGUCCGGAAACGGGCGCUAAUACCGCAUACGUCCUGAGGGAGAAAGUGGGGGAUCUUCGGACCUCACGCUAUCAGAUGAGCCUAGGUCGGAUUAGCUAGUUGGCGGGGUAAAGGCCUACCAAGGCGACGAUCCGUAACUGGUCUGAGAGGAUGAUCAGUCACACUGGAACUGAGACACGGUCCAGACUCCUACGGGAGGCAGCAGUGGGGAAUAUUGGACAAUGGGCGAAAGCCUGAUCCAGCCAUGCCGCGUGUGUGAAGAAGGUCUUCGGAUUGUAAAGCACUUUAAGUUGGGAGGAAGGGCAGUAAGUUAAUACCUUGCUGUUUUGACGUUACCAACAGAAUAAGCACCGGCUAACUUCGUG